UACGUAGGGUGCGAGCGUUAAUCGGAAUUACUGGGCGUAAAGUGUGCGCAGGCGGCCGCGCAAGUCGAGUGUGAAAGCCCCGAGCUUAACUUGGGAAUUGCGCUCGAAACUACGUGGCUGGAGUGUGGCAGAGGGGGGUGGAAUUCCGCGUGUAGCAGUGAAAUGCGUAGAGAUGCGGAGGAACACCGAUGGCGAAGGCAGCCCCCUGGGCCAACACUGACGCUCAGGCACGAAAGCGUGGGGAGCAAACAGG
rnacentral:rRNA from 1 species